AUUUGAUUUGAACUUGUCCUCUUGAUUUUUCCUUAUUUCUUCUUCUAAACGUGUUUUAAAUGCCUAAAAUGAUUAUAUUAAGAAAGUUCGGUCUGCGUCCUAAUAUAUUACACCUACUUUUGCUUAGUAACAGGCAGUAAUUUCAGAUAAAGUUCAUUUUUCUGUUGCUUAUGGGGGUUUCAAUAGGAUUGGAGCGGAUAGGAAUGACGAGAGGUUAUGUUAUGGUGUUCCAUCGUUUGCUGUUUUUGACUAUUUUGGCUGUGCGUUUUUGCGAGUUUUUAGAGCAACUGCAGGUUCAAAGACAUAUCCCAACUUUAUUAGAAAGAUGUCAAGUCGGUUCGUGUGCCCUUCAUCUUCAUCCAGUCAGUUUGAAAGAUUAAGAAGAUAAGCUAUGAACAAGAUUUCUGGACUUAUCGUGUGAUAUGGAAGUUCAGUGCAAGUUCAGUGCAACUGCAUUUUUUUUCAGUCAACGAAGCUAAGUACUGCUGAUCCUACUGGUUUACUGGUAUUCUUGGAUCAUGAAGCACAAGCAAGUUCCUUUCCAUCGCCAUCAGGAGAAAUUAGUGCUCAAGGCACAGCGGUUUUAUUCGGACUUUUUCUCCAGUUUGCAGUCGCAUUCAACAGUUCCUUUAUGAAACUUGCUGUACCAGAGGGAAGUUGUAACUAGCUGUCUACCAAACAUGUCAAUCAAGUUUCAGCUGCAAAGAAAUAUACUAAAAAUUGAAUCAUCAUGUAUAGUAACGUAGUAGUGUCCUCUGUAAUCUCUGAAGGGGAACUGUUACAGUGGACAUAGACUUCAAUGAUCAUAUCUUUAACAUAAGAGGAUGGAACAAAGGCGGGUAAAACAGGGAGAGCCAUCAAUUUGAUCAACUACUGGCCCUUGAAGAGGAUGAGCUUGUUCCAGUAGUGACGAGUAGAAUCACCUUUCUGGAUCAUGUGCUUGACAAGGUGGUGCAAGCGUAGGUUAAAAUACCGCAUGGCUAUGCACCGUACAAGAUAAUAUCGGUGGUUUGCCAAGGGAUCUUGCUCUCUAACAUGCUCAUCCAGGGAUUCAAAUACUCGCCGACUACCGGGCUCAGCGAACCUGUGCGAUUCCUCUCCAGUUUGGAGAGGUCCAUCAAGGUGAUCAUGUUAAGAAUCAGAAGCCAUGCAGGAGAAAUGAGAAAAAGAAUAUACGACAAUCGUCCAGAAAGUAAGUUUACAAUUCAAUAUCUUUUAAACCAAGACAGACAGAGAAAAUCUGUAAAAACUGUUGAAAAGCCAGUAUCCUCAGCUCUCUGUAUAUUUCUAAAUUUGGCUCAAUAGAACCUUAAAAAGUGGAUUUUUCUGAACCCACCUCCUUUCCGCAUGGGUCCAAAAUUUCAAGGAGCGUCAUCAGCAAGUGAGCUGCUGUAUCUAUUGCUUACCAGAAAAAAGUGGCCUAGAGGUGGUGAAAAACAUGUAAAACAUAAGUGAGCACAUUUUUCAACUAGAAAAUUGCACGUUUGAUUGUUUUUACUUCGAUUAUUGGUGGGUUUGGACUGCAGUACAUGGAAAUGUUAGGCUACAUUUGGUAAAAUCGUAGAGUUAUAAUGCAAAAUUUGUUUUCAGUGUGUGAAUAGAGCUCUAUGAUUCAUUCUUUCGCCUAGAGAGGUGACCCUAGCUGCUCCAUUUCGGAUUCAUUUACAGUAACGAAGUUGUAAUGGCUGCAUAUUUUUCCAAGUGAUGCAUCUUUGACAAAAUUCCUUGGAGAUCGGGCAGAAUAAUUUGAAAGCUUAUGAACAACUCAGUCAGAGAGUUACCUUCAAAAUUUCAGUAAACUAUUAUAAUAAUAUAAUAUAAUAUAAUAUAAUAAUAAUAUAAUAAUAAUAAUAAUAAUAAAAAAUAAUAAUAAUAUGAAAAGAAAAUAUUUUAAAGAAAAUGAUAUAUGCUGCCCCUACUGGAACAGGAAGAUUCGUACCCAUGGAACCAUUCCUAAUAAAAUCCCAGACAUAGUGCUCACGAUGAAAGAUACCAAAACUACCUUUAUAAUCGACGUCGCUAUGCUGUUGGCAGUUAAUAUCCAGAGCGCUUACGCUGAGAAGAUAAGCAAGUACAUGCCUUUAGCAGACAAAAUCAAGUGCCUCUGCAAAUUGGACAAAGUAAUAAUUGUACCUAUUAUUAUUGGAGCAACAGGGGAGAUUCCUACGAAAUUGUUUGAUAGUCUUAGGAAGGUCAACCUUAGAGAGAAGCUGUAUCAACAAUUACAGAAAACAGCGUUGCUAGGAAGCUGCAGGAUUGUAAGGUGAGUUCUGGGCGAUGGAUAGUUACCACCAACCGAAAAAUUAACCUGCAUUUUAAACUUCAAUUUUAAAUUUAUACUCCAAUUUAAAAUUUUUAACUCAAAUUUUAAAUUUUCAACUCCA